AUAAGUUUUAAGCGCAGGCAGACCGGUGAGGGAGUGUUCCAUCAGCCUCAGGAAGGCACUCAGAGACUCACGGAGCAGAACCCCCUUCCCAGACAUUAGAGUCGCCCCUCCCCCUCCAGGGACCGUUACCUGUCGCCUCCUGAAGGAUCUAUCUGGGGUUGUCACUAAAGUGGCCUGAGGCACCAUUUGCCUAGGGCACAUUUUCUUGUGGCCUCAGAAGGCUCUUUCCUCACUUCCUUUCCAGUAUGCACUUGAACUUGCUGUAGACUCCACACCCUUCAGUAUGGCAACACGACUACCUAAUCCUUAGAGGAUGUGCAGCCAACCAAGGUGACUAGAGGUCUGCCAGGAGAGUUUACUAAAAGAUUUCAUUUCUUGGGUAUUCAGCUCUGUUUCCUGCCACCUUUGCAGCACUCGGGAAAAGCAAGUCAAUCAAAGAAACUGCUUUAAAAACUGUGACGUCAAGCUGGGUACGGUGUCUCAUACCUGCACUUGGGACACUGAGGCAGGAGGACUGCUGAGAGUCUGAGACCAGCUUGGGCUACAAGUGAGACUGUCUCAAACAAAACAACCCCCUCCCCAAAAAAAAACAAAAAAAAAAAAACAAGAAAGAAAAGAAUACCAUGAUGUCCUGGCAUCAGUGGCUCUUGGAUCACUCUGGUUUUCUCUACCCUGACUAUAUCAACAAACUAAUUCCUUAGAACUACCAUGUGGCCAGAAACGGCUACUGCCUGGCAUCCCAGGAAAGGUUUUGCAUGAUUUCCUUCAUGACUGUAUAUGCUUUUCUUCUUAAUGCUUUGGCCUUGCCUGCUUGGUAAAAGCGUUCAAUGGCACGCAGAUGUGUUCUCUGUACUGUGUAUUCCCACUCUGUCCAGGUCCUCAGUUGAUGUCCCCGUCUUCUCCAGAUACUAACAUCACAGAGUGUUGACACAGGCAGGGCUCAUCUGUAGAAGAUCCUUUCUCUAGCCUGAGUGUUGCCCAGGCUUUAUUAGGAAAAACCUUCCAAAUGUUAGAGGCUGGGAGUUUCAGCAUGAAAAUCUGGUCAAAUGAUCUCACUAGAGACUCGUUUGUCUCUGUAUUAACAAUGACACUCCUCCCAUUGCCGAUCCCAGCUAUCUUAUUAAAGGGAUCACGGUAAUUAUUUUUUGUGUUAUUAUUAGACCAGUUCUGUUUUCUUGGGGACCACAGAUUUCUAUUGUGCUUAGAUGUCUUUGGGCAAAUGCCUGUCCACAUGAUCACUCACCAUUGUAGGCCCUGUGUCUGGGCUGGCCACGACAUCCACAGUCACAGAGCUAGGUGAGGCUGUUCAAGGCGGGACUUUCUGGGGAUACUGCCCUCUGUUUUCUUCUCCCUUGUGGAAGUUCAUGAAAGGUUUGGCUCUUCUUUCUAUUUGGC
ensembl:lncRNA